rnacentral:rRNA from 1 species
UACGAAGGGGGCUAGCGUUGCUCGGAAUCACUGGGCGUAAAGCGCACGUAGGCGGAUCUUUAAGUCAGGGGUGAAAUCCUGGAGCUCAACUCCAGAACUGCCUUUGAUACUGAGGAUCUUGAGUCCGGGAGAGGUGAGUGGAACUCCGAGUGUAGAGGUGAAAUUCGUAGAUAUUAGGAAGAACACCAGUGGCGAAGGCGGCUCACUGGCCCGGUACUGACGCUGAGGCGCGAAAGCGUGGGGAGCAAACAGGG